AGAGUUGCGGCUCAGUGGUAGAGCGCUUGCCUGGCAUGCAUGAGGCCCUGGGUUUGAUCCUCAGCACUA
rnacentral:tRNA from 1 species